CAGUCGCCGCGGUAAUACGUAGGUCCCGAGCGUUGUCCGGAUUUAUUGGGCGUAAAGCGAGCGCAGGCGGUUAGAUAAGUCUGAAGUUAAAGGCUGUGGCUUAUCCAUAGUACGCUUUGGAAACUGUUUAACUUGAGUGCAAGAGGGGAGAGUGGAAUUCCAUGUGUAGCGGUGAAAUGCGUAGAUAUAUGGAGGAACACCGGUGGCGAAAGCGGCUUUCUGGCUUGUAACUGACGCUGAGGCUCGAAAGCGUGGGGAGCAAACAGGAUUAGAUACCCGUGUAGUCCCUGUCUCUUAUACA
rnacentral:rRNA from 1 species